GUGUCUUGUUGGCGAAUUUAUUGGAUAUAUUGGAACUUCUAUUCAGCGUCUCUUCCAUGAUGAUAAGAGUUUUGAUCGGGUGGCAUGCAAGAGUCAUAUCUCAAAAUGUCUAACAAGGAUAAAAAUUUGUUUUAGUUAAAUCAGAGAGAGCAGAUAACGUUACUAUAA